rnacentral:precursor_RNA from 1 species
GAUCCCCAACAGGGUCGUGGAUACGCACUGUAGAGGAGUCUCAUACUAAGACUAAACAGCUCUUCAGUGCUUCCAGGCGAUCAGUGGUUGUCU